AUACCCGGGUAGUCCACGCCGUAAACGAUGAACACUUGGUGUUGAUGGAUUUGACCCCAUUAGUGCCGUAGCUAACGCGUUAAGUGUUCCGCCUGGGGAGUACGGUCGCAAGAUUAAAACUCAAAGAAAUUGACGGGGGCCCGCACAAGCGGUGGAGCAUGUGGUUUAAUUCGAUGAUACGCGAAAAACCUUACCUGGGUUUGACAUCUAGAGGAAGAUACUUAGAAAUAAGGUCGCCUUCGGGCCUCUAGACAGGUGCUGCAUGGCCGCCGUCAG
rnacentral:rRNA from 1 species